AGAGUUUGAUCCUGGCUCAGGAUGAACGCUAGCGGGAGGCUUAAUACAUGCAAGUCGAACGGCAGCAGGAUUAAUUUAUUAAUGGAUGGCAAGUGGCGCACGGGUGAGUAACGCGUACACAACCUGCCCUUAAGAGGGGGAUAGCCCUGGGAAACUGGGAGUAAUACCGCAUAGUAUUAACCGGAUGCAUAUUUGGUUAAUUAAAGUUUAGGCGCUUAAGGAUGGGUGUGCGUUAGAUUAGGUAGUUGGUGAGGUAACGGCUCACCAAGCCGACGAUCUAUAGGGGGCGUGAGAGCGUGACCCCCCACACGGGUACUGAGACACGGACCCGACUCCUACGGGAGGCAGCAGUAAGGAAUAUUGGACAAUGCCCGCAAGGGUGAUCCAGCCAUCCCGCGUGCAGGAAGACUGCCCUAUGGGUUGUAAACUGCUUUUGUAAGGGAAGAAACCCCCUGAUGCGUUAGGGGUUGACGGUACCUUAAGAAUAAGCACCGGCUAACUCCGUGCCAGCAGCCGCGGUAAUACGGAGGGUGCAAGCGUUAUCCGGAAUCACUGGGUUUAAAGGGUGCGUAGGCGGCUUUAUAAGUCAGGGGUGAAAUGCUACGGCUUAACUGUGGAAUUGCCUUUGAAACUAUAGAGCUGGAAUAGAGUUGAGGUUGGCGGAAUGUGACAUGUAGCGGUGAAAUGCAUAGAUAUGUCAUAGAACAUCGAUUGCGAAGGCAGCUAACUGGGCUUUUAUUGACGCUGAGGCACGAAAGCGUGGGGAUCAA
rnacentral:rRNA from 1 species